GGGGAUGUAGUUCAGUGGUAGAGCUGUUGCCUAAUAUGUAAGUUCCUGGGUUCAACCCCUACUAUCACCA
rnacentral:tRNA from 1 species